UAACACGUGGGUAACCUACCUAUAAGACUGGAAUAACUUCGGGAAACCGGAGCUAAUGCCGGAUAACAUAUAGAACCGCAUGGUUCUAUAGUGAAAGAUGGUUUUGCUAUCACUUAUAGAUGGACCCGCGCCGUAUUAGCUAGUUGGUAAGGUAAUGGCUUACCAAGGCGACGAUACGUAGCCGACCUGAGAGGGUGAUCGGCCACACUGGAACUGAGACACGGUCCAGACUCCUACGGGAGGCAGCAGUAGGGAAUCUUCCGCAAUGGGCGAAAGCCUGACGGAGCAACGCCGCGUGAGUGAUGAAGGUUUUCGGAUCGUAAAACUCUGUUAUUAGGGAAGAACAAAUGCGUAAGUAACUGUGCGCAUCUUGACGGUACCUAAUCAGAAAGCCACGGCUAACUACGUGCCAGCAGCCGCGGUAAUACGUAGGUGGCAAGCGUUAUCCGGAAUUAUUGGGCGUAAAGCGCGCGUA
rnacentral:rRNA from 1 species